rnacentral:rRNA from 1 species
GACGAACGCUGGCGGCGUGCCUAAUACAUGCAAGUUGAGCGCUGAAGGUUGGUACUUGUACCAACUGGAUGAGCAGCGAACGGGUGAGUAACGCGUGGGGAAUCUGCCUUUGAGCAGGGGACAACAUUUGGAAACGAAUGCUAAUACCGCAUAAAAACUUUAAACACAAGUUUUAAGUUUGAAAGAUGCAAUUGCAUCACUCAAAGAUGAUCCCGCGUUGUAUUAGCUAGUUGGUGAGGUAAAGGCUCACCAAGGCGAUGAUACAUAGCCGACCUGAGAGGGUGAUCGGCCACAUUGGGACUGAGACACGGCCCAAACGCCUACGGGAGGCAGCAGUAGGGAAUCUUCGGCAAUGGACGAAAGUCUGACCGAGCAACGCCGAGGGAGUGAAGAAGGUUUUCGGAUCGUAAAACUCGGUUGGUAGAGAAGAACGUUGGUGAGAGUGGAAAGCUCACCAAGUGACGGUAACUACCCAGAAAGGGACGGCUAACUACGUG